rnacentral:lncRNA from 1 species
UGGGAAACUUCUAGUGGGUAUUUAAACCCCGCAAAAUUCGCUAACCGACGUUCUUGAGCUGCUUGCUCGAGCCCACUCCCACCUUGUGGAGCGUACUUUCAUUUACAAUAAAUCUCUGCUUUUUCUGUUUUGCUUUGUUUGUGCGUUUUGUGCAAUUCUUUGUUCAAAAUGCCAAGAACCUGGACAACUACCCUCAACCAGUAACACUAGGUGGGAAGGAGGUAAGCAAGUCAGGCACAGAGAGAAUGCUAUCAUGGCUCUAGCUGAGUGAGCAGAGGGGAGACUGAUAGAACACGACAGAGAAGCAGGCAGGUGCAGAGCCUGGAAGGCCUUGAAGCUGAAGACGGGGAGUUCAGAUUGUAUUCCAGGGUAGAAAAAAAAAAAAACAAUCACUGGAGAGUGAAGGGAUCUGAUUGGCUGUGGCAGCUGUGAGGAAGAGGGCCCCUAGAGGAACAGCGAUGGAAGCAGAAAGCAUGAUUUCCGAAGGACCUUCUAAUGGAGUGCCUCCUUUAACCGGCAUGCCUCCCCUACCAGACCUGACUCCAUGAAGCAAACACUGACCUUGGCAUCAAGGCGACCUGACCCGAGCUCAGCUCCAUCACUGAAGAAACUCCUCCCCUCUUGAAGUUUCAGUUGUCAUCUGUAAAAUGGGAGUAAGAAUAGUGCCUACCCAUAGGGCUGUUGGAAUGAUAAAUAUGAAAAAAUGCAUAACCAAUAAAUAAUAUAGAACAUAUGCUCAGGAAAUAUUAGCCAUCAUUAUUUGCUGCUAUUGUUGCUUGUAUCAUUGUCUCUCCCAGGGAAGAUUCUAAGUUCUGCAAGGACAGAACCUAUGUGUAAUUCAUUUUUGUAACCCCAGGAUGCCAAGCACAACACCUGUCACAGAAAUUCAGCAGUUUUGGGCUGGGCGUGUGGGUACACGCCUAUAAUCCCAGAACUUUGAGAGGCUGAGGCAGGUGGAUCACUUGAGGUCAGGAAUUCGAGAUAACCCUGGCCAACAUGGCAAAACCCCAUCUACUAAAAAUACAAAAAUUAGCUGGGUGUGGUGGCACAUGCCUAUAAUCCCAGCUACUUGGGAGGAUGAGGCAGAAUUGUUUGAACUGGGGAGACGGAAGUUGCAGUGAGCUGAGAUCGCGCCACUGCACUCCAGCCUGGGCAACAGAGUGAGACCCUGUCUCAAAAAAAAAAAAAAAAAAG